rnacentral:rRNA from 1 species
GACGAACGCUGGCGGCGUGCCUAAUACAUGCAAGUAGAACGCUGAAGGAGGAGCUUGCUCUUCUGGAUGAGUUGCGAACGGGUGAGUAACGCGUAGGUAACCUGCCUGGUAGCGGGGGAUAACUAUUGGAAACGAUAGCUAAUACCGCAUAACAGUAGAUAUCGCAUGAUAGCUGCUUGAAAGGUGCAAUUGCACCACUACCAGAUGGACCUGCGUUGUAUUAGCUAGUUGGUGAGGUAACGGCUCACCAAGGCGACGAUACAUAGCCGACCUGAGAGGGUGAUCGGCCACACUGGGACUGAGACACGGCCCAGACUCCUACGGGAGGCAGCAGUAGGGAAUCUUCGGCAAUGGACGAAAGUCUGACCGAGCAACGCCGCGUGAGUGAAGAAGGUUUUCGGAUCGUAAAGCUCUGUUGUAAGAGAAGAACGAGUGUGAGAGUGGA